CAAUAGCGUAUAUUUAAGUUGCUGCAGUUAAAAAGCUCGUAGUUGGAUUUCGGGUGGGAAUGGCCGGUCCGCCGUUUCGGUGUGCACUUGCUACGCCCACCUUGCUGCCGGGGACGUGCUCUUGAGUUCACGCUCGGGACACGGAGUCGGCGAGGUUACUUUGAGUAAAUUAGAGUGUUCAAAGCAGGCCUACGCUCUGAAUACAUUAGCAUGGAAUAACACGAUAGGACUCUGGCCUAUCUUGUUGGUCUGUAGGACCGGAGUAAUGAUUAAGAGGGACAGUCGGGGGCAUUCGUAUUUCAUUGUCAGAGGUGAAAUUCUUGGAUUUAUGAAAGACGAACUAGUGCGAAAGCAUUUGCCAAGGAUGUUUUCAUUAA
rnacentral:rRNA from 1 species